rnacentral:rRNA from 1 species
UACGUAGGGAGCAAGCGUUGUCUGGAAUCAUUGGGCGUAAAGCGCGCGUAGGUGGCCUCAUAAGUCCGCUGUGAAAGUCAAAGGCUCAACCUUUGAAAGCCGGUGGAUACUGUGAGGCUAGAGUACGGAAGAGGCGAGUGGAAUUCCUGGUGUAGCGGUGGAAUGCGCAGAUAUCAGGAGGAACACCAAUGGCGAAGGCAGAUCUCUGGGCCGUAACUGACGCUGAGGAGCGAAAGCAUGGGGAGCGAACAGG